UAUACCUUUGCAAAACAAGGUUCUUCGGAGGAGAUUAAUAGGGAACCCCGUGAAAAUCAGGGACUAUACCCGUAGCUGUGAGCUUCAGGAAACGCCGAACAACCCCCGCCACUGUCGUGGGAUGACCUCGACGGGAAGGCAGUUUGAGCGGGAGCGAGUCAGAAGACCUGCCUUGUGAACGAUGAGCACU
rnacentral:ncRNA from 14 species